UACGUAGGGUGCGAGCGUUGUCCGGAAUUAUUGGGCGUAAAGAGCUCGUAGGCGGUUUGUCGCGUCGACUGUGAAAACCUACAGCUUAACUGUGGGCUUGCAGUCGAUACGGGCAGACUUGAGUUCGGUAGGGGAGACUGGAAUUCCUGGUGUAGCGGUGAAAUGCGCAGAUAUCAGGAGGAACACCAGUGGCGAAGGCGGCGGCCUGGGUCCAAACUGACACUGAGGUGCGAAAGCGUGGGGAGCAAACAGG
rnacentral:rRNA from 1 species